rnacentral:misc_RNA from 1 species
UGACAUCUCUAUUAUAUUCUUAUGCCUCUCAGGAUGCAUUGCAGUGUCAUAAAGAGCCUGAACCCAUGAGCCCCAUGCCUUUCUUGACUGUCCACCAGUUUUUCCAUCAACAGAACUUCCAACAUUGGGGCCGAGUUCUUUCACAAAGCUUUUAAACUUCUUGUUCAUGUCUGUUUCACAGACAGCUUCACGCUUGGCUUUCUGAUCACCACUUCUAGAACCUUGCUCUAGUUGAACUUCUCCUUUAAAUUCUUUGUCGAACUUAUCCUUACAUGACUCUUCUUGAG